AGAGUUUGAUCCUGGCUCAGAAUGAACGCUGGCGGCAUGGAUUAGGCAUGCAAGUCGAGCGGUAAGGCCCCUUCGGGGGUACACGAGCGGCGCAAGGGUGAGUAACGCGUGAGCAAUUUGCCUCGAAGUCGGGGAUAGCCCCCCGAAAGGGGGAUUAAUACCGGAUGUGGCUUGGAGCUUCCUGGCUCCUCUGCUAAAGAUUUAUCGCUUCGAGAUGAGCUCGCGUCCUAUCAGCUUGUUGGUGAGGUAACGGCUCACCAAGGCUUCGACAGGUAGCUGGUCUGAGAGGAUGGUCAGCCACACUGGGACUGAGACACUGCCCAGACUCCUACGGGAGGCUGCAGUCGAGAAUCUUCCGCAAUGCGCGAAAGCGUGACGGAGCGAUGCCGCGUGCGGGAUGAAGGCUUUCGGGUCGUAAACCGCUGUCACCCGGGAUGAAUUAUUGACAGUACCGGGAGAGGAAGCCACGGCUAACUACGUGCCAGCAGCCGCGGUAAGACGUAGGUGGCGAGCGUUAUUCGGAUUUAUUGGGCGUAAAGGGUCCGCAGGGGGUCGGUCAAGUCUGGUGUGAAAGCCCAUGGCUCAACCAUGGAAUUGCACUGGAAACUGGUCGACUAGAGGGCUGGAGAGGAAAGUGGAAUUCCCGGUGUAGCGGUGGAAUGCGUAGAUAUCGGGAGGAACGCCAACAGCGAAGGCAGCUUUCUGGACAGCACCUGACCCUCAUGGACGAAAGCCGGGGGAGCAAACAGGAUUAGAUACCCUGGUAGUCCCGGCCGUAAACGUUGUAGACUCGGUGUGGGGGGAUUUGGCCCCCCCCGUGCCUUAGCUAACGCGUUAAGCCUACCGCCUGGGGAGUACGGCGGCAACGCUAAAACUCAAAGGAAUUGACGGGGGCCCGCACAAGCGGUGGAGCAUGUGGCUUAAUUCGAGGCCACGCGAAGAACCUUACCUGGGCUUGAAAUAUGGUUGACAUCCGGUGAAAGCCGGUUCCUCAUGUAGGCUACCAUACAGAUGCUGCAUGGCUGUCGUCAGCUCGUGUCGUGAGAUGUUCGGUUAAGUCCGGCAACGAGCGCAACCCGUGUCAUCAGUUACCAGCGCGUGAAGGCGGGUACUCUGGUGAGACUGCCCGUGCUAAGCGGGAGGAAGGCGCGGAUGACGUCAAGUCCGUAUGGCUCUUACGCCCAGGGCUGCACACGCGCUACAAUGGCCGGUACAGUGGGCUGCAACGCUGCGAGGCGAAGCCAAUCCCCAAAACCGGUCUCAGUUCGGAUUGGAGUCUGCAAUUCGACUCCAUGAAGUCGGAAUCGCUAGUAAAGGCGUAUCAGCAACGGCGCCUUGAAUACGUUCCCGGGCCUUGUACACACCGCCCGUCACAUCAUGGGAGCCGGUUGUUCCCGAAGUCGCUGACCCAACCCGCAAGGGAGGGAGGCGCCGAAGGAAUGCCCGGUGACUGGGAUGAAGUCGAAACAAGGUA
rnacentral:rRNA from 1 species